rnacentral:rRNA from 1 species
CCUACGGGGGGCUGCAGUGAGGAAUAUUGGUCAAUGGUCGUAAGACUGAACCAGCCAAGUAGCGUGCAGGAUGACGGCCCUACGGGUUGUAAACUGCUUUUAUGCGGGAAUAACGCGCCUUACGUGUAGGGCUUUGCAUGUACCGUAUGAAUAAGGACCGGCUAAUUCCGUGCCAGCAGCCGCGGUAAUACGGAAGGUCCGGGCGUUAUCCGGAUUUAUUGGGUUUAAAGGGAGCGUAGGCCGCAUGUCAAGCGUGCCGUGAAAUGCCGGGGCUCAACCCGGGCCUUGCAGCGCGAACUGGCGUGCUUGAGUCCGCGGAAAGCAGGCGGAAUUCGUGGUGUAGCGGUGAAAUGCUUAGAUAUGACGAAGAACCCCGAUUGCGAAGGCAGCAUGCUGCAGCGGUACUGACGCUGAUGCUCGAAGGCGCGGGUAUCGAACAGGAUUAGAUACCCUAGUAGUC